GGGGAUAAGCGGAAGAAAUUCCGUCUAAUACCGCAUAAUACAAUUUGGAGACAUCUCCGGGUUGUCAAAGGAGUGAUCCGGCAGAGGAUGGACAUGCGGCGCAUUAGCUAGUCGGCGGGGUAACGGCCCACCGAGGCUACGAUGCGUAGGGGUUCUGAGAGGAAGGUCCCCCACACUGGUACUGAGACACGGACCAGACUCCUACGGGAGGCAGCAGUGAGGAAUAUUGGUCAAUGGGCGGAAGCCUGAACCAGCCAAGUCGCGUGAGGGAAGACGGUCCUAUGGAUUGUAAACCUCUUUUGCAGGGGAGCAAGGCGCGGUACGUGUACCGCGAAGGAGAGUACCCUGAGAAAAAGCAUCGGCUAACUCCGUGCCAGCAGCCGCGGUAAUACGGAGGAUGCGAGCGUUAUCCGGAUUUAUUGGGUUUAAAGGGUGCGCAGGCGGACUGUUAAGUCAGCGGUAAAAUGUCGGUGCUCAACACCGGCCGGCCGUUGAAACUGGCAGCCUUGAGUGAGCGAGAAGUAUGCGGAAUGCGUGGUGUAGCGGUGAAAUGCAUAGAUAUCACGCAGAACUCCGAUUGCGAAGGCAGCAUACCGGCGCUCAACUGACGCUCAGGCACGAAAGCGUGGGUAUCGAACAGGCUUAGAUACCCUGGUAGUCCACGCAGUAAACG
rnacentral:rRNA from 1 species